rnacentral:tRNA from 1 species
GGUAGUGGCUUAGUGGUAGAGUACUCGCCUAGCAUGCAUGAAACACUGGGUUCAAUCCUCAGCAUUA